CGAUGAUAUGUAUGCAAAAGCUGGAAUAUUCUAGAAAACAUUUUUCCCGAAAAGGUGAAGAAGUAUGUAAGUAGUAAGUAGCACAAAUGGUAGCAUCAACAACAACAAAAAUAAUAAUAUGAGUACAGAAGAUUGUGUUGAGAGCAACAUGCCAGGGCAGGCGGCCCACAACCAGUCUCCGCGCAAAAAUUGGUAGCUACUAGCUAGGUUGAGUUGGUGGACGCACGCGAAAGCAUUCGAUUGUGGAGUGGGUUGUGAGGCUGAAGCUGAGGAGAAAAUUUUUUGUUGGACUUGAAGUGGGAAUUGGAAGUUUGAGACAGAAGGCUGGAAUAUGGUUGUUGAGUGCUGGAUGCUGUGCCGUGCUAUGCCUCGAACUGCGAUUAUCUGUCGUGUAGCAUACAAAACGAGCAACGAGGCAAACUGAACUGAACCAAAGCGGACAUAAAAUUUUU